rnacentral:rRNA from 1 species
GAGUUUGAUCCUGGCUCAGGACGAACGCUGGCGGCGCGCCUAACACAUGCAAGUCGAACGGAGCUUAAAGAGCUUGCUUUUUAAGCUUAGUGGCGAACGGGUGAGUAACGCGUGAGUAACCUGCCCUGGAGUGGGGGACAACAGUUGGAAACGACUGCUAAUACCGCAUAAGCCCACGGAUUCGCAUGGAUCUGCGGGAAAAGGAUUUAUUCGCUUCAGGAUGGACUCGCGUCCAAUUAGCUAGUUGGUGAGGUAACGGCCCACCAAGGCGACGAUUGGUAGCCGGACUGAGAGGUUGAACGGCCACAUUGGGACUGAGACACGGCCCAGACUCCUACGGGAGGCAGCAGUGGGGAAUAUUGCACAAUGGGGGAAACCCUGAUGCAGCGACGCCGCGUGAAGGAAGAAGUAUCUCGGUAUGUAAACUUCUAUCAGCAGGGAAGAUAGUGACGGUACCUGACUAAGAAGCCCCGGCUAACUACGUGCCAGCAGCCGCGGUAAUUC